GACAGAGGGUGCAAACGUUGUUCGGAAUUACUGGGCGUAAAGCGCGUGUAGGCGGUUAUGCAAGUCGGGUGUGAAAGUCCAGGGCUCAACCCUGGAAGGCCGGUGGAAACUGUCGGGCUAGAGUCCGGAAGAGGCGAGUGGAAUUCCCGGUGUGAGCGGUGAAAUGCGCAGAUAGUCGGGAGGAACACCAGUAGCGAAGGCGGCUCGCUGGGCCAUUCCUGGACGCUGAGACGCGAAAGCUAGGGGAGCGACGAGG
rnacentral:rRNA from 1 species